rnacentral:rRNA from 1 species
AGUAACGCGUAGGUAAUCUACCUUUAUGAUCGGGAUAACAUUGGGAAACUGGUGCUAAUACCGGAUACCCUUCCUGGCUUUGGGGUCAGGGAGGAAAGGCGGCCUCUUCAUGAAAGCUACCGCAUAGAGAUGAGCCUGCGUACCAUUAGCUAGUAGGCGGGGUAACGGCCCACCUAGGCGACGAUGGUUAGCGGGUCUGAGAGGAUGAUCCGCCACACUGGAACUGGAACACGGACCAG